AAAUUGAAGAGUUUGAUCAUGGCUCAGAUUGAACGCUGGCGGCAGGCCUAACACAUGCAAGUCGAGCGGAAACGAGUUAUCUGAACCUUCGGGGGACGAUAACGGCGUCGAGCGGCGGACGGGUGAGUAAUGCCUAGGAAA
rnacentral:rRNA from 1 species